rnacentral:rRNA from 1 species
AGUUUGAUCCUGGCUCAGGAUGAACGCUAGCUACAGGCUUAACACAUGCAAGUCGAGGGGCAGCAUGUCGGUUGCUUGCAACCGAUGAUGGCGACCGGCGCACGGGUGAGUAACGCGUAUCCAACCUACCCUUGUCCAUCGGAUAACCCGUCGAAAGGCGGCCUAACACGAUAUGCGGUUCACCGCAGGCAUCUAACGUGAACGAAAUGUGAAGGAGAAGGAUGGGGAUGCGUCUGAUUAGCUUGUUGGCGGGGUAACGGCCCACCAAGGCUACGAUCAGUAGGGGUUCUGAGAGGAAGGUCCCCCACAUUGGAACUGAGACACGGUCCAAACUCCUACGGGAGGCAGCAGUGAGGAAUAUUGGUCAAUGGACGAGAGUCUGAACCAGCCAAGUAGCGUGCAGGAUGACGGCCCUAUGGGUUGUAAACUGCUUUUAUAGGGGGAUAAAGUGUGUCACGUGUGGCAUAUUGCAGGUACCCUAUGAAUAAGGACCGGCUAAUUCCGUGCCAGCAGCCGCGGUAAUACGGAAGGUCCGGGCGUUAUCCGGAUUUAUUGGGUUUAAAGGGAGCGUAGGCCGUUUGGUAAGCGUGUUGUGAAAUGUCGGGGCUCAACCUGGGCAUUGCAGCGCGAACUGCCAGACUUGAGUGCGCAGGAAGUAGGCGGAAUUCGUCGUGUAGCGGUGAAAUGCUUAGAUAUGACGAAGAACUCCGAUUGCGAAGGCAGCCUGCUGUAGCGCAACUGACGCUGAAGCUCGAAAGCGUGGGUAUCGAACAGGAUUAGAUACCCUGGUAGUCCGCACGGUAAACGAUGGAUGCCCGCUGUUGGUCUGAAUAGGUCAGCGGCCAAGCGAAAGCAUUAAGCAUCCCACCUGGGGAGUACGCCGGCAACGGUGAAACUCAAAGGAAUUGACGGAAGG